rnacentral:rRNA from 1 species
GACGUAGGGGACGAGCGUUGUCCGGAUUCAUUGGGCGUAAAGCGACCGCAGGCGGCCUGACAAGUCGGAUGUGAAAGCCCUGGGCUCAACUCAGGAAUUGCAUUCGAAACUGGCAGGCUCGAGUACGGGAGAGGGGGGUGGAAUUCCUGGUGUAGGGGUGAAAUUCGUUGAUAUCAGGAGGAACACCGGCGGCGAAGGCGGCCCCCUGGCCCGCAACUGACGCUCAUGGUCGAAAGCGUGGGGAGCAAACAGG